CAAAUCAGGAAUUUAAUUUUGGUUCUGAUUGAACGUUGUUCAGUAGUUUUAAGACAUGCAAAUCGUUAUUACCGAUUAAUUAAAUUAGAUUAAUUCUGAAUUAAUUAUUAUUAGGGAUAAGGUGUACGGGUGAGUAAUAAUAAAUAAGAUUUCUUAUAGUCUCAGUAGAUUUGGGAUAGCUUUAUUUCUUUCUUUCUUUCUUUAAGAUAUUUAAAAGCAUUAAUAUAAAAAAACUCUUUUUAUAAUAGAACUUUUUUAGGUGAAAGAUCACUAUAAAUAUAGGACAGUAAAGCAUAAAUAUUACUAUAAUUUAUAAUAAAGGAAUUUUUCCGCUAUAGGUUUCGAUUUAUUUUGUUUAAUGGUAGUUGGCAGGGUAAAAGCCUCCCAAGCCUACGAUCAAUAGUCAUGCUUGAUAGAGCCUCUGGCCACAUUGGGUCUGGAAAACCCCAAGUAGAUAUCUACCAGCAGUCAAGAAUCUUAGUCAAUGCUCGCAAGAGUGAACUAGCUAACUGAAGUAGUCGGGAACUGAAUGGAAGUUCUUUUUUCGAUUAAGUGAUAGAAUCUAACAAUGAUAGAACUAUCUUUAAGUGUUGUCCAAGUUACUGGUGCCAGAAGACUCGGUAAGGCCAGAAACGCUAACGUUAGUCGUCAUAAACAGGCGUAAAGGGUAUGUAGGCAGCUUUGAAAGUUUAGACCUUUAACUGCUAUAUAGUAAUCUUUCUAAUAUAAUCAAAUCGCUUUUUUAGCCAUUUAUUAUAAAAAAAGAAGUUAAAAACUUAGACCCGCUCAAAGCUAGAAUCUUGAAGGAGGAUAAUACAAAUAAUACUUAGACGAGGGGUGAUAUCCUAAGACACUAGGUGGAAUACUAAAGGUGAAAGCUUUUUAUCUAACACAGAUUGACGCUGAGAUACGAAGGUGAGAAUAGGAAAUAGGAUUAGAUACCCAGAUACCUCUCACUGUCAACGAUGAAUGGUAAUCGGUAUUCUUUUUUAGGGUGCUGAUACAGCUAACGCGUUAACCAUUCCGCCUUGCGAAUACGGUUGCAAAACUAAAAGCAAAAAAAUUAGUCGGUUUCGGAGCAAACGAAGUGAAGCAUGUAGUUUAAUACGAUAGUCCGCGUAAAAUCUUACCAGGUCUUGAAUAAACACUACCACUAUUCAUAAAAUCUUUAAAUAAAACGAGCAAUUCUAACAAGGAAAUUUAUGUUUUUUGUUUUUUUUUUGUUUAGUUCUAAAUCUAGAAAUUCUGAAAACUCAGGUAGUGAGAAACAGUCUAAUCUCUUUAAUCAUUAGACUGUGCGUUUACAGGUGUUGCAUGGCUGUCGUCAGUUCGUAUUGUGAGAAGUUAGGUUAAUUCCACUAACGGGCGAAAUCCCUAUUGCUAAUUAACUCUUAGCAAUUUACGAUUGAUGAGAUUGUAAUUUUGGGGCUAAGACAAGUCGUUAUGGCCCUUAUGACCUGGGCUACUCACGUGCCACAAAAGCUUUUACAAAGUGACGCAAAAACCUAGCCUUUAUAAAAAAUGUAUCCUCUAAACACUGAAAUAGUGACAUUUUAACGGUGAAGAUCACAAGAAAAUCUCUUCUCUCACCGUAGGCACAAAGGAAUAGCUAAUCAUUAAAGAAAGCUAGUUUAAUACAAAAGACGCCGAUUGUCUCCUGUAACUCGGAGGCAUGAAGUAGGAAUUUCGAGUAAUCGUUGAUCACUAGCGCAACGGUGAAGCUUGGAUCCGAGAUGAACUAACUGUCUGUCGCUGGGGCGAAGCUUAUAUCUUCGUAGCUGGAUAGAGGCAUGAUAAGGAUUCUAUUCUGAAGAGGCUAGUCGAAUUUUUUAUUUGAAUGGUUUCUUCGUUUUUUUGUCUUUUGAUAGAAUUUUCUUUUUUGUUCUUUCUAUCGGACUACUCGAGUUCUGUAUAAAUUUAAUUUAUUGAAAUUAUACAGUCUAGAAAAACACUUAGAAUUAUCUUACGUGUGGAGUUUAGCGAUAUUUUAUGAGUAACAUCUCAAAAGUCAUAGCAAGGUAGCUGUACUGGAAAGUGCUGCUGGAAAUUAACUAUA
rnacentral:ncRNA from 1 species